rnacentral:rRNA from 1 species
UACAGAGGUCUCAAGCGUUGUUCGGAUUCAUUGGGCGUAAAGGGUGCGUAGGCGGCGCCGUAAGUCAGGUGUGAAAUUUCGGAGCUUAACUCCGAAACUGCAUUUGAUACUGCGGUGCUUGAGGACUGGAGAGGAGACUGGAAUUUACGGUGUAGCAGUGAAAUGCGUAGAGAUCGUAAGGAAGACCAGUGGACGAAGGCGGGUCUCUGGGCCGAAACUGACGCUGAGGAGCGAAAGCGUGGGGAGCAACAGGAUGAUGA